UAAGUUAUUCAAGGGUUCUCUAGAAGACCACUUACUUUCUGUUAAAAAGUACUACACUGAAGAAAAAGGAUUUUCUGUUAUGGAGGAAGUUACACUAGGCAUUAUUAAAGACAUUGUGGUGGGAUUGCAAAUAAGUGUCCACCAAAAUGUUCUAAAACUCUUAAGAUGCUGCUUGGAGACUAAAUAUUUAACUCCAAUGUAUGAAUUUGUCAGGUAUAAAAUUCUCUCCAAUUAUAUCAACCCAACUAGGUCAAUCCACUUUGAGCCCUGAACAUGGAAAUGCAGGGCAUAUUUAAUGCCGUUGCAUAUCUUCAUACUUCAUUUUCCAAGUCUGUUAUCCAUAGAGAUAUUAGGUCAGCCAUCAUUAUAUUAUAACAAUGUUGCCAAACUGAUUGAUCUCUCACUCUUAUCUAUUCCUAAAGGUGAACUGCAUGUAUUUGAUGCCGUACGUGAGAGAAGGGGUGUGGUGCACCUGAAUAUGUUGCUACAGGCUAUAUAACUGAGAAGGUUGAUGUGUAUAUUUAUGGUAUGCUCCUACUUGGGCUCUUGGCUGGAUGGAUGUUAAUUCUCCACAGUACAGAUUGCCUUGAGUUGCAUCUCUGAUACAGCAGAAGAUAGGCCGACAAUUAUUGAUGCAGGGAAACAACUCGGUGAAUCUUGAGUCUGUCUCACCUCCUUAGUUUAUCUUAGCUCUAUCCUGGUUGAUUAACAUUCAAGAUAUUCUAUGCUCUAUAUAGCAUCUGAAUGCACAAACUUGUCACCAAGACUGGAGUCACUGAAUAAAAUGGCAAUCAUGUGUACGAUAAAACCAUGGUUUGAUUUCCAUUGGGCAGCUAGAGUGGACUGUAAUAAGACCUCUUAUUUUUAUUUUUGGAUGGAUUGGGUUGAAUAAACUUUCUAUCAUUGCAUGUA